rnacentral:rRNA from 1 species
AGAGUGAACGCUGGCGGUAGGCCUAACACAUGCAAGUCGAACGGCAGCACGGUAAGAGCUUGCUCUUAUGGGUGGCGAGUGGCGGACGGGUGAGGAAUACAUCGGAAUCUACCUUUUGGUGGGGGAUAACGUAGGGAAACUUACGCUAAUACCGCAUACGCCCUUCGGGGGAAAGCCGGGACCAGCAAUGGCCUGGCGCUGAUAGAUGAGCCGAUGUCGGAUUAGCUAGUUGGUGAGGUAAUGGCUCACCAAGGCGACGAUCCGUAGCUGGUCUGAGAGGAUGAUCAGCCANACUGGAACUGAGACACGGUCCAGACUCCGUACGGGAGCAG